UACGGAGGAUCCAAGCGUUAUCCGGAUUUAUUGGGUUUAAAGGGUGCGUAGGCGGAAUGAUAAGUCAGUGGUGAAAGCCCUUCGCUUAACGAAGGAACUGCCAUUGAUACUGUCAAUCUUGAGUACAUUUGAUGUGGGCGGAAUGUGUCAUGUAGCGGUGAAAUGCUUAGAUAUGACACAGAACACCGAUUGCGAAGGCAGCUCACAAAACUGUAAACUGACGCUGGAGGCACGAAAAGCGUUGGGUAUCAAACAGG
rnacentral:rRNA from 1 species